ensembl:lncRNA
AUGGAUCUGGCCUGCAACGCCCUUCUUCUCGCCGCCUUAUCCUGGGUCACGUCCACCUCAUCGGACCACUGCACAGGAUUACAAAUGGACUAUCACUUCCUGGACUAUCAUGAGGUCGAGACGGGAAGGGCUAACCCUGACCGAAUGGGGGAUUUUGAUUUCUGCCUUCCAGAGUCUCGAAUCUUACUGCGCCAUUCUCUAGUACCCCGACUCACCAACGGCGGGUACUGGGAACUUUUCAUCCGAAACAAGGACUUGCGCCGUAUCGGGUCCGCGGCCCUCGCUCUUGAUCACUCCUCUUACCGGCUGACCUGCCAAAACGGGACUUAUCUUCUCUACGCGAACGGAGGGAUCUCACAAAACCCGAACUGGACCGAAGUCGAGGUAGGAGGGGCUUCCCACGCUUACACGGACUCAAACCCCUCUGGAAACUUGAUUUUCGGGUUCCAGUGUCUCCUCUCCACCCCAGAAACCCGGAAGCCGCAACUCCAGGGACUCUGCCUGCGGCGAUUCUGCUGUGUAUGGAACCUAGGGGUCACUCAUGAGUGGAAAGGGGCUGAAUAUCUAGAAGGUUGGCACCAUCUCGUACACCCUUCACGCUCCCCCUCAUGGGACCACGUCGGACCCCUGAGAUGCGGCGGUAUCGCCAGGGUUAGACGACUAUUGAACACCACCGACCCACUCCACCCAGUCGGCACAGCACCUCGACAAUUCGGCACUGACCCUGCACUCCCGGGAGAAGACCUCCUUUCAUCCUGGGAGCAAAACUCCUAUAUUAAACUCCUCAGCCAGGUGGCAAAGGAAGCACCCUACCCAGACUGCUGGAUCUGUGCCCACGCGCCUAGCCACCUCCAGCAGAGCCUCCCACUAGUCCCAGUGCCAGUGACCCUCGAACAAUUCCGUUCUGGAAACGUCACUUCCUGGAACUUAACUGCACUCAACUUGACACAUCAAUAUCUCUAUCUCACAGGCCCUACAAAGGGGCCCCUUUGCCGCAGCUUCUCCGGGGAAGGGACCUUCAUUGGAUCCAGCACAUGUUCUAACACUCUCGAAAUCUUACCAACUGGCCGGGUCACGGUCACCAAUACAAGAGACUCCCGGACUUUUCCAAACCUCACCGCCGCCUGGGCCGCUGUCGUUGGACACCCCUUGGACUGGAAACCCCAAACCCCAGACUCCAUGCUAUUGCAAACCUUUGCUUCAGGCCGAAUGGAAUCUUACCUCAGCGGCCUAUUCUGGGUGUGUGGACACCGCGCAUAUACAUGGGUGAGUCCACACAUGUCUGGAUCCUGCUUCGUCGGCUACAUUGUCCCCGGAAUUAGGAUAGUUCCACACCUACCCCCUGGAAGACAGCGGAACAAAAGAGAGCAAAGGGAGCUGUCAGACCUGUCAGAUGUUGCUGCAAAUGGAGAGACCGUGGGCCGAGCACUUUCCCUGCCUACGGGGCUGGUUCAAACCAUGUGGAUAUCCUUCGACUCACCGACAUCCUCCUUAAGUUCAUGCAGGAGGCGACCCAGAUCACAGACUCUCUCAUGUCGGAACUAUCCGAGGUAA